CCUACGGGUGGCAGCAGUGGGGAAUUUUCCGCAAUGGGCGAAAGCCUGACGGAGCAAUACCGCGUGAGGGAGGAAGGCUCUUGGGUCGUAAACCUCUUUUCUCAAGGAAGAAAAAAAUGACGGUACUUGAGGAAUAAGCAUCGGCUAACUCCGUGCCAGCAGCCGCGGUAAUACGGAGGAUGCAAGCGUUAUCCGGAAUGAUUGGGCGUAAAGGGUCUGUAGGUGGUACUGAAAGUCUGCUGUUAAAGAGCAAGGCUCAACCUUGUAAAAGCAGUGGAAACUACAGAACUAGAGUGCGGUAGGGGCAAAAGGAAUUCCUGGUGUAGCGGUGAAAUGCGUAGAUAUCAGGAAGAACACCGGUGGCGAAAGCGUUUUGCUAGACCGCAACUGACACUGAGGGACGAAAGCUAGGGGAGCGAAUGGGAUUAGAUACCCCAGUAGUC
rnacentral:rRNA from 1 species